rnacentral:lncRNA from 1 species
CUGGGGGUUUUGCUGUAGUCAUGCACCCUCUAGGAAGGACGCCAUGCUGGAUUUCUCCACUUUCAUUGCAGUAAAUCUGGACAUGACAUUGCUGUAACAAAGCAGGCAGCUGGGUCUGCAUGGCUGUCACCCCCUCACAAGCCAAGGUCAUUUGAAAAGUCUCCUGUGACAGAUGGGCAAAAGCAUUUCUUCCUGCUUCAAAGGCACAGGAUGCUGCUUUGGAGCCAGUUUUUCUUCUGCAGGUCUUCUUGUCAGUGAGCAGGAAGGAAAAUCUGCAAACAAAGGCAACUUCAGUGAUCUUGGAACAUGAAGAAUAAUGUCCUUCAUUGCUGCCAUGCAGGGCUCAGUGCAAAGAGCUGAACGGCACUGAUUCCUACAGUCAAGGACGUAUGGCCCUCUUGUUCCUUUGCAAGAUAAGCCAUUCCCAACUGGAUAUUAACUCUUCCUGGAAAUGCAGCGUCAAAAACAAUGGCAAUACACUAUCAAGAUCCAGCACUUCCCUUAAGAAACUGUGAAGCACCAAGGAGAGCUUUGUUGCAGAAGAAACAACGCAGACAUAUAAUGCAACAAGACAUGAACAUUGAUGGGAACAGCCCGUGGCUUUGAUGUUAGUUGCAGAUGCACAGAGAUAGUGCUGAGGCCACCUCAGAGGGUCCUGCCAUUUCUGCUCAUUCGCUGCCAGUGGUACGUCCAAGACACAAGGAGCUGUAAAGAGCACAGGAAUAAAGAGCAGGAAUGGAUGCCAAGAGGAAGGAAAGUAGGCGGCACAGAAGAUGGGAAACAAAGCAAAAAACGUCUGGGCAACACGUGAGCUUGGCACAGCUGUUUGUCUUUGCUGUCUGGCACUUUCAGCAAGAAGUAAACUGUAUAAUAAAGUAAAUUUUGUUGAGACA